rnacentral:lncRNA from 1 species
CAGUAUAUUCUCAGUAUAUUCUAAUGUAAAUGUUACAGUCUCAGUAUAUUCUCAGAUAUUCUAAUGUAAAUGGUACAGUUCAGUUAUUCUAAUGUAAAUGUUACAGUCUCUGUAUAUUCCACUGUAAAUGGUACAGUCUCAGUAUAUUCUAAUGUAAAUGUUACAGUCUCAGUAUAUUCUAAUGUAAAUGUUACAGUCUCAGUAUAUUCCACUGUAAAUGGUAUAUUCUCAGUAUUUCCACUGUAAAUGUUACGUCUCAGUAUUCUCGUAUAUUCUAAUGUAAUGUACAGUCUCAGUAU